CGCUUUUUGCGGAGUAAAGCUCAGGCGGAAUGGGAUGGGUCCGCGGCCUAUCAGCUAGUUGGUAAGGUAAUAGCUUACCAGGGCUAUGACGGGUAGGCGGGGUGAGAGCCUGACCGCCAACAAGGGCACUGCGACACGGGCCCUACUCCUACGGGAGGCUGCAGUCGAGAAUAUUGGACAAUGGGGGAAACCCUGAUCCUGCGACGCCGCGUGCUUGAAGAAGCCCUUCGGGGUGUAAAAAGCUUUUAUAGAGAAAGAACCUAACUCUCUAUGCCCAUGACUUUUUGUGGUGGGUUUUAAGAGUUAGGUGACGGUACUCUAUGAAUAAGGGGGUGCUAAUUCUGUGCCAGCAGCAGCGGUAAUACAGAAUCCCCAAGCGUUAUCCGGAUUUAUUGGGCGUAAAGGGUUAGUAGGCGUCUGGUUUUAUCUUUUGUUAAAUUUUCGAGGCUUAACCUUGAAGCUGCGAAAGAAAUAGGCCAGAUAGAGGACGUUAGAGGCUAAUGGAACGGUCAGUGUAGGGGUGAAAUCCGUUGAUAUUGACCGGAACACCGAAAGCGAAGGCAAUUAGCUGGGACGAUCCUGACGCUGAGGGACGAAAGCGUGGGGAGAGAACGGGAUUAGAUACCCCGGUAUUCCACGCUGUAAACUAUGGAUACUGGCUAUUUGAAGUGUCGACCUUCAAGUGGCGAAGCUAACGCGUUAAGUAUCCCGCCUGGGAAUUACGGCCGCAAGGCUAAAACUCAAAGGAAUUGACGG
rnacentral:rRNA from 1 species